CAGCAGUCGCCGCGGUAAUACGAAGGGGGCUAGCGUUGCUCGGAAUGACUGGGCGUAAAGGGCGCGUAGGCGGCGAUCAAAGUCAGGCGUGAAAUUCCUGGGCUCAACCUGGGGGCUGCGCUUGAUACUUGGUUGCUUGAGUGGGGAAGAGGGUCGUGGAAUUCCCAGUGUAGAGGUGAAAUUCGUAGAUAUUGGGAAGAACACCGGUGGCGAAGGCGGCGACCUGGUCCUUGACUGACGCUGAGGCGCGAAAGCGUGGGGAGCAAACAGGAUUAGAGACCCCCGUAGUCCCUGUCUCUUAUAC
rnacentral:rRNA from 1 species